rnacentral:rRNA from 1 species
GUCCACGCCCUAAACGAUGGGUACUAAGUGUCGGCGGGUUACCGCCGGUGCCGCACCUAACGGAGUAAGUACCCCGCCUGGGGAGUACGGCCGCAAGGUUGAAACUCAAAGGAAUUGACGGGGGCCCGCACAAGCGGUGGUGCAUGUGGUUCAAUUCGACGCAACGCGAAAACCUUACCCAGGCUUGACAUGUUCGUGGUAAGAACCGGAAACGGGGAUGACCCUGAAAGGGGAGCGAGCACAGGUGCUGCAUGGCUGUCGU